rnacentral:rRNA from 1 species
CCUGGUUGAUUCUGCCAUUUAGUCAUAUGCUUGUCUCAAAGAUUAAGCCAUGCAUGUCUAAGUAUAAGCAACUUUGUACUGUGAAACUGCGAAUGGCUCAUUAAAUCAGUUAUAGUUUAUUUGAUGGUUUUUGCUACAUGGAUAACUGUGGUAAUUCUAGAGCUAAUACAUGCAUUCAAGCCCCGACUUCUGGAAGGGGUGUAUUUAUUAGAUAAAAAUCAACUUUGUUGGUGAAUCAUAAUAACUUCUCGGACCGCAUGGCCUCGUGCUGGCGGUGCUUCAUUCAAAUAUCUGCCCUAUCAACUGUCGAUGGUAGGAUAGAGGCCUACCAUGGUUGCAACGGGUAACGGGGAAUAAGGGUUCGAUUCCGGAGAGGGAGCCUGAGAAACGGCUACCACAUCCAAGGAAGGCAGCAGGCGCGCAAAUUACCCAAUCCCAACACGGGGAGGUAGUGACAAUAUGUAACAAUAUACGGCCUUAUACGUCGUAUAAUUGGAAUGAGUACAAUUUAAAUCCCUUAACGAGGAACAAUUGGAGGGCAAGUCUGGUGCCAGCAGCCGCGGUAAUUCCAGCUCCAAUAGCGUAUAUUAAAGUUGUUGCAGUUAAAAAGCUCGUAGUUGGACCUUGGACCUGGACAGGCGGUCCGCCUCACGGCGAGUACUGUCUUGCUGGGUCUUUCCUCUUGGUGAUCUGUUGUUUCGGCAGCAGGGAACCAGGACCUUUACUUUGAAAAAAUUAGAGUGUUCAAAGCAGGCUCGACGCCGGAAUAUAUUAGCAUGGAAUAAUAAAAUAGACGUGCGGUUCUAUUUUGUUGGUUUUU